GCUCUUGUUUCUCUUCAUAUUGUACAAAUCUUUCACCUUUUACUAAAGAUUUCCAUGGAGAGGAACAACUACAGAAAUAACCCAAUUUUUGAUGCCCUGCUUAAAUGCGGGGU
rnacentral:snRNA from 1 species